AGUGGCGGACGGGUGAGUAAUGCUUGGGAAUCUAGCUUAUGGAGGGGGAUAACUAUGGGAAACUGUAGCUAAUACCGCGUAGAAUCGGGAGAUGAAAGUGUGGGACCUUCGGGCCACAUGCCAUAGGAUGAGCCCAAGUGGGAUUAGGUAGUUGGUGAGGUAAAGGCUCACCAAGCCGACGAUCUCUAGCUGGUCUGAGAGGAUGACCAGCCACACUGGGACUGAGACACGGCCCAGACUCCUACGGGAGGCAGCAGUGGGGAAUAUUGCGCAAUGGGGGCAACCCUGACGCAGCCAUGCCGCGUGAAUGAAGAAGGCCUUCGGGUUGUAAAGUUCUUUCGGUAGCGAGGAAGGCAUUUAGUUUAAUAGACUAGGUGAUUGACGUUAACUACAGAAGAAGCACCGGCUAACUCCGUGCCAGCAGCCGCGGUAAUACGGAGGGUGCGAGCGUUAAUCGGAAUAACUGGGCGUAAAGGGCACGCAGGCGGUGACUUAAGUGAGGUGUGAAAGCCCCGGGCUUAACCUGGGAAUUGCAUUUCAUACUGGGUCGCUAGAGUACUUUAGGGAGGGGUAGAAUUCCACGUGUAGCGGUGAAAUGCGUAGAGAUGUGGAGGAAUACCGAAGGCGAAGGCAGCCCCUUGGGAAAGUACUG
rnacentral:rRNA from 1 species